rnacentral:rRNA from 1 species
UACGUAGGUGGCAAGCGUUGUCCGGAAUUAUUGGGCGUAAAGCGCGCGCAGGCGGUUUCUUAAGUCCAUCUUAAAAGCGUGGGGCUCAACCCCAUGAGGGGAUGGAAACUGGGAAGCUGGAGUAUCGGAGAGGAAAGUGGAAUUCCUAGUGUAGCGGUGAAAUGCGUAGAGAUUAGGAAGAACACCGGUGGCGAAGGCGACUUUCUGGACGAAAACUGACGCUGAGGCGCGAAAGCGUGGGGAGCAAACAGG